GAUGAACGCUGGCGGCGUGCCUAAUACAUGCAAGUCGAGCGAACAGACGAGGAGCUUGCUCCUCUGACGUUAGCGGCGGACGGGUGAGUAACACGUGGAUAACCUACCUAUAAGACUGGGUUAACUUCGGGAAACCGGAGCUAAUACCGGAUAAUAUAUUGAACCGCAUGGUUCAAUAGUGAAAGACGGUUUUGCUGUCACUUAUAGAUGGAUCCGCGCCGCAUUAGCUAGUUGGUAAGGUAACGGCUUACCAAGGCAACGAUGCGUAGCCGACCUGAGAGGGUGAUCGGCCACACUGGAACUGAGACACGGUCCAGUCUCCUACGGGAGGCAGCAGUAGGGAAUCUUCCGCAAUGGGCGAAAGCCUGACGGAGCAACGCCGCGUGAGUGAUGAAGGUCUUCGGAUCGUAAAACUCUGUUAUUAGGGAAGAACAAAUGUGUAAGUAACUAUGCACGUCUUGACGGUACCUAAUCAGAAAGCCACGGCUAACUACGUG
rnacentral:rRNA from 1 species